UACGUAGGGGGCAAGCGUUGUCCGGAAUCAUUGGGCGUAAAGCGCGUGUAGGCGGUUCAGUAAGUCUGCUGUGAAAGUCCAGGGCUCAACCCUGGGAUGCCGGUGGAUACUGCUGGGCUAGAGUACGGAAGAGGCGAGUGGAAUUCCCGGUGUAGCGGUGAAAUGCGCAGAUAUCAGGAGGAACACCGGUGGCGAAGGCGGGUCUCUGGGCCGAUACUGACGCUGAGGAGCGAAAGCGUGGGGAGCGAACAGG
rnacentral:rRNA from 1 species